AUUGAACGCUGGCGGCAGGCCUAACACAUGCAAGUCGAACGAGUGGCGGACGGGUGAGUAAUGUCUGGGAAACUGCCUGAUGGAGGGGGAUAACUACUGGAAACGGUAGCUCAUACCGCAUACCAUCGGAUGUGCCCAGAUGGGCUUAGCGAGUAGGUGGGGUAAAGGCUCACCUAGGCGACGCUCCCUAGCUGGUAUGAGAGGAUGACCAGCCAAACUGGAAAGGAGACAAGGUGCCGACUCCGACGGGAGGCAGCAGUGGGGAAUAUGGCACAAUGGGCGCAAGCCUGAUGCAGCCAUGCCGCGUGUAUGAAGAAGGCCUUCGGGUUGUAAAGUACUUUCAGCGGGGAGGCGUUACCCGCAGAAGAAGCACCGGCUAACUCCGUGCCAGCAGGCGCGGUAAUAC
rnacentral:rRNA from 1 species